rnacentral:rRNA from 1 species
AUUGAACGCUGGCGGCAUGCCUUACACAUGCAAGUCGAACGGUAACGGGCCUUCGGGUGCCGACGAGUGGCGCACGGGUGAGUAAUACAUCGGAACGUGCCCGAUCGUGGGGGAUAACGAGGCGAAAGCUUUGCUAAUACCGCAUACGAUCUACGGAUGAAAGCAGGGGACCGCAAGGCCUUGCGCGGACGGAGCGGCCGAUGGCAGAUUAGGUAGUUGGUGGGAGAAAAGCUUACCAAGCCGACGAUCUGUAGCUGGUCUGAGAGGAUGAUCAGCCACACUGGGACUGAGACACGGCCCAGACUCCUACGGGAGGCAGCAGUGGGGAAUUUUGGACAAUGGGCGCAAGCCUGAUCCAGCCAUGCCGCGUGCAGGAUGAAGGCCUUCGGGUUGUAAACUGCUUUUGUACGGAACGAAAAGCCUUCUUUUAAUACAGGAGGGUCAUGACGGUACCGUAAGAAUAAGCACCGGCUAACUACGUG